rnacentral:piRNA from 1 species
UUGGAUGUUUAAACAUAUGAAUAUGCAGGUC